GCCUCUGUAGCUCAGCUGGUUAGAGCGCUGCACCGGAAUCGCAGGGCCGUAGGUUCAAUUCCUACCAGAGGAC
rnacentral:tRNA from 1 species